rnacentral:rRNA from 1 species
AUUGAACGCUGGCGGCAGGCCUAACACAUGCAAGUCGAACGGUAACAGGAAGCAGCUUGCUGCUUCGCUGACGAGUGGCGGACGGGUGAGUAAUGUCUGGGAAGCUGCCUGAUGGAGGGGGAUAACUACUGGAAACGGUAGCUAAUACCGCAUAAGUCGCAAGACCAAAGAGGGGGACCUUCGGGCCUCUUGCCAUCGGAUGUGCCCAGAUGGGAUUAGCUUGUUGGUGGGGUAACGGCUCACCAAGGCGACGAUCCCUAGCUGGUCUGAGAGGAUGACCAGCCACACUGGAACUGAAACACGGUCCAGACUCCUACGGGAGGCAGCAGUGGGGAAUAUUGCACAAUGGGCGCAAGCCUGAUGCAGCCAUGCCGCGUGUAUGAAGAAGGCCUUCGGGUUGUAAAGUACUUUCAGCGGGGAGGAAGGGAGUAAAGUUAAUACCUUUGCUCAUUGACGUUACCCGCAGAAGAAGCACCGGCUAACUCCGUG